AUACGGAAGGUCCGGGCGUUGUCCGGAUUUAUUGGGUUUAAAGGGAGCGCAGGCGGAGAUGCAAGCGUGACGUCAAAUUUCGGGGCUCAACCCCGUCUCGCGUCGCGAACUGCGUCCCUUGGUUGCGGGAAGGGGAGGCGGAACUCGUGGUGUAGCGGUGAAAUGCAUAGAUAUCACGAGGAACUCCGAUUGCGCAGGCAGCUUACUAAACUACUACUGACGCUCAGGCACGAAGGCGUGGGGAUCAAACAGGAUUAGAUACCCUGGUAGUCCACGCAGUAAACGAUGAUUACUAGCUGUUUGCGAUACAAUGUAAGCGGCUGAGCGAAAGCGUUAAGUAAUCCACCUGGGGAGUACGUUCGCAAGAAUGAAACUUAAAGGAAUUGACGGGG
rnacentral:rRNA from 1 species